GAUGAACGCUGGCGGCGUGCUUAACACAUGCAAGUCGAACGGAAAGGCUCCUGCUUGCAGGGGUACUCGAGUGGCGAACGGGUGAGUAACACGUGGGUGAUCUGCCCUGCACUUCGGGAUAAGCCUGGGAAACUGGGUCUAAUACCGGAUAGGACCACAUUUUGGAUGGUGUGGUGGAAAGUUUUUCGGUGUGGGAUGAGCUCGCGGCCUAUCAGCUUGUUGGUGGGGUAAUGGCCUACCAAGGCGUCGACGGGUAGCCGGCCUGAGAGGGUGUACGGCCACAUUGGGACUGAGAUACGGCCCAGACUCCUACGGGAGGCAGCAGUGGGGAAGAUUGCACAAUGGGCGCAAGCCUGAUGCAGCGACGCCGCGUGGGGGAUGACGGCCUUCGGGUUGUAAACUCCUUUCGCUAGGGACGAAGCGCAAGUGACGGUACCUGGAGAAGAAGCACCGGCUAACUACGUG
rnacentral:rRNA from 1 species